rnacentral:lncRNA from 1 species
AAUUAACCAUUAUCUAGCUCUUACUAAUUAACUAUUGAGAAGUUACUAAAGUUUUAAUCAUUUUGCUGAUUAGAAACAUUUUAUAAACAUGGAUCAAGAUCAAUUCUAAUGCAAAUAAAUAUUUUACCCAUUUCAAAUAUAGUAAGACACAGAACAUAAUCAGUCAUCAAUCGUUUGGCAAGAGAUCUAAGGAUACCAGCCAUAGAGACUAUACCAGC